GAUGAACGCUGGCGGCGUGCCUAAUACAUGCAAGUCGAGCGAACAGACGAUGAGCUUGCUCCUCUGACGUUAGCGGCGGACGGGUGAGUAACACGUGGAUAACCUACCUAUAAGACUUGGAUAACUUCGGGAAACCGGAGCUAAUACCAGAUAAUAUAUUGAACCGCAUGGUUCAAUAGUGAAAGACGGUUUUGCUGUCACUUAUAGAUGGAUCCGCGCCGCAUUAGCUAGUUGGUAAGGUAACGGCUUACCAAGGCAACGAUGCGUAGCCGACCUGAGAGGGUGAUCGGCCACACUGGAACUGAGACACGGUCCAGACUCCUACGGGAGGCAGCAGUAGGGAAUCUUCCGCAAUGGGCGAAAGCUUGACGGAGCAACGCCGCGUGAGUGAUGAAGGUCUUCGGAUCGUAAAACUCUGUUAUUAGGGAAGAACAAAUGUGUAAGUAACUAUGCACGUCUUGACGGUACCUAAUCAGAAAGCCACGGCUAACUACGUG
rnacentral:rRNA from 1 species